AACUUAGAAGAGGCCCCUUUUUGCAUAGAAAGUGGCUACAUCGUGUAAGUUUUGGUACCAAAAUUUCUUAAGUUGGUACUUUCAACUAUAGCUACUAGAUGGCGGGGUCACUAAAAUACGUUUCUAAAAGUUUCUAUAUGAAAUAUUCCAUUUCAAGCACAGAACAUUUAAUGUUAUUUUGUAACAAAGAUUUUUAUUGAAAAAUUAUUUUUUUACUGAGAAGUUAAAUAUCAGUAUUUUAGAAUUAUCAUUAUUAACAUUUAUUACUUAUUACAAACAAUGUCCGAAUAUGCCCACCGUAAAACGAAACGUUUGGAAAAAUGGCGUUACAAAAGUCAUAUUUUUUUUAGGUUAAUUUACUUGGUUUAUUAUUUUAUUAUUUAUUUAUUAGUUUAUUAUUUUUGAUGUCUUUUUUAUCACUUUAUUAAAUAAAAAUUAAAUGUUCCAUUUUUUUUUUUCAAUUCAAAUUCGAAAUUGUGAUUUUGUUAAUUUCUUGUUAAAAAUGAGUGAACCCGGCAGAAAUAAACGGUAUUGCAUUUUCAGCUGUGCGGAUUUGGGUGCACCCAUGCACGGUAUUCCUCAUCCGGAAAGAAAAGUCGAGUUAUUUGCUAUUUGGCUGUCAAUUGCUGGAUAGAAACUGAAGGAGACUGACCCUUGGAAGAUAUAUAAAAAGGUUCAUCACAGUUCCUGCACAAGGAAAGUAAAUCUGCACAAAAGGACAUCAGAAGUUUAAAGAACAAGUUGAGGAAGUCAGUGAAACAGGCAGGACAUAAAAAAGCAAGACUCGCCACGGUUUCUAACCUGUUACAUAGAUCUGACGAUAUGGCAAGAUUUACAAAAAAUAUGAGCCGAUCAUGCCGCAUUUUUACGGGCAUGCAAUAACGCCAAGCAUCAAAAAAACCAAAAGGAAGAAGAUAUAACAUGGAAGAAAAAGUAUUGGCGCUAUCCAUUUUCAAGAAAAGCCCUAAAUGCUAUAAUUUAUUGUAUAAAUAUUUUAAAUUAUCAUCAGCAAAAUCAUUGAAAAACUUGUGCGACAUAAAAAUAUUGCCAGGUAUUAACAAUUGCAUUUUUGAAAAAUUAAAAGAAACUGUUGAUGAGCUCAUUGAAGAAGACCGAUUGUGCACUUUAAUGUUCGAUGAAAUGUCACUGACACCUCAUGUUCAAUAUAACCCUGGAACAGAUGAACUGAAAGGUUUUGUAAGCCACGAUGAUAAAUUAAAAAUCGCCAACCAUGCCAUGGUUUUCAUGGUAAAAGGUAUAAAAAAGAAUUUCAAACAACCUCUGGCAUACUAUUUCACACAAAGUCUGAAAACGAUUGAAUUAAAGUAAAGGCGAUUAUAAAAGAAGGCUAUACACAAAACUGGCCUUAAAGUGAUAUGCACGGUGUGUGAUCAAGGGGCAACGAACGUGAGCGCUAUAAACAGUCUCGUUAAAGACACUAGAGAAAUGUAUAUAAAGGCAGGAAAACAAUGGCGGGAGGAAUGUUUCGAAGUCGAAGGAGCCAAAAUUAUUCCACUUUACGAUGUCCCCCAUCUUAUCAAAGGAUUACGAAAUAAUCUGUUAAACAAAGAUAUACAGUAUAAAGAUUCAAGCCAAAAUGAUAAAAUUAUAAAAUGAGAGUUCUUCGAACAGCUUUAUGAAGCCGAUAAAACACGCGGAGAGCUUAGGAGCCUUCACAAACUAAGCCUUCAAAAAGAUGAGAGUGAAGAUGGCUGCCCAGAUUUUUAGUCAUAGCGUGGCUACAACAACAGACCAUUUCGUUGCCAGAGGACUCUUGCCCGAGGAAUGUCGACAGUUAAUAAAUCCUGUUCUCUUGAUUGAUAAGCUAUUCGUUAGCUUGAAUGCUGGUACAUUUCAUGUGCCAAAUGGCAAAUUAUAUAGAGGAGCUGUGCGCAAAACAUCAGAGCACCAUGAACUGUGGCGAAAGGCAAUAACUUUUUUUAAAAAUGCUAAAUUUUUAUCAAAAAAGAAGAUAGGAAACAAAAUUAGACUCGUCGAAACAAAUAUUCCUAGUACAAAAAAUUUAAUUAAAACUAUCGAGGGAAUGCAAGCCAUCUGGAAAAUUCUUAGCCAAAAAUAUUCUCUAGAUAGCAUGUUAACAAGAAAUUUUAAUCAGGACCCGGUUGAAAACUUUUUUGGAAAUAUUAGAAGCUUGGGAGUACGAAACAAUUCGCCAACAUGCACUACUUUUGAAGGUUCAUUUAAAUCUCUGCUCUUAACCCUUAAUUUGGCAGAGACUCUGGUGACAUAAAUUUUCCGAUUUUACUUAAUAUAUUGAAUUACAGGUGUUUUUAAAGCGUCCGAAAAAUA
rnacentral:lncRNA from 1 species